CUUUGAUCUAUUUUUACCUAAUUUUUGUAUAUGGCAUUUGGUAUAUGUCCACCUUCAUUAUCUUGAACGUGGACAUCCAGUUUUUACUUUAGUAUUUGUUGAAAAAACUUCUUUCCCCAUUUAAUAGUCUUGACAACCUUGUUGAGAAUCAUUUGACUAUAUACAGCAGGGUUUGUUUUGGGGCACUCUCUUCUUUUCCAUUGCUAUUCUAGUCAUCCCCCUUUUGUCCACCACUCUGCUAUCUUGAACUGAAAUCUAACUCUAUUAAUCCCUCACUAAAAAUGUACUUAUGUAGCAUUAAAGGCUCUGCAGAGCUAGACUCAACCUAUUCUUAGUCUUUCUCCCUAUCAUAACCCCAUUCUCUCUUCCCUGCAUUGUCUAAUCCUACAGAAUUACUCCAGAACAUAAUAUAUACCUACACAUCUGCUACAUUCUAUCUGCACCUUCCUUUAUUCUCUUUCCCACCCUCCACCCACACAUGGCAGUUACUUUUUACUCCUAUAUAAUUUUGUUACUAUCAGAGUCAUUAUCACGUCAUAUAACAAAUAUAUAUGCAUACCUGCUCCUAUCCAGUAAAUCUGAGCUUGAUGGCCUUUCAAAGAAAAAUUUCUUUGUGCUCGCCUUGCCCAGAGAUAUCACCCCUAUUGCAACUGCACAGAGAAAGUGGUGUUAACAUGUAUACAACAUAAGGCUAGAUAUUGCCUGUGCAUUUCAUUAAUCUUCAGAACAGUCCUGUGAGACAUGUGACAUAUGAUGAAACCAAGGCUUAGAAAUGUUUGGUUACACAGCUAAUUAGUUGUCAGAACUAGAAUUCAAACUCAUAGUCAUCUGGCCAUGAGCCAUGCUGUGAUCACUAAGCUAUGAAGACACUAAAGAAAGAUGGGUGGUUAGUGAAAUAUAAUAGGGUAUGCUGAUCAACCUACUUUCUUUUAGGCCUGAACAUGAUUUUAUCACAACCUCCAAAGUUGAUCAGACACAGGGUUCCCCAUGUAGGUAAAGCCUAAACCAGAAUAUCUCACUAAGGAAAGCAUAAACGAGAAUAUCAACUAAAUUAUAAUGGGAGAAAUUCCUUUCUAUCAGUACUAACCAAAGUACUACAUCCAGGCUUGGCAAGGGCAGACAAAUCAGCCUUUCUUCACAACACAGCAAACCACAAUGGAAUCUCCCUCUGACAACUUCUGGGUUCGUUCCCGGACAAUAUAUACUAAACUGCAUAUUUUACCCCUCAAACUCCCCUUUUACCCUGUUCCAUCAUGCUUAUCUCCUUUUUUUGUUCUGGAGAAACUGAAAUAUCUCAGCUUUUUAAAUUAUUACUUUUUCUAGUUCUGCCUAUUUCAAAUUAUUUCUAGCCAUCUGAUAAGAAGUCUG
ensembl:lncRNA